rnacentral:rRNA from 1 species
GAUGAACGCUGGCGGCGUGCCUAAUACAUGCAAGUCGAGCGAACAGACGAGGAGCUUGCUCCUCUGACGUUAGCGGCGGACGGGUGAGUAACACGUGGAUAACCUACCUAUAAGACUGGGAUAACUUCGGGAAACCGGAGCUAAUACCGGAUAAUAUAUUGAACCGCAUGGUUCAAUAGUGAAAGACGGUUUUGCUGUCACUUAUAGAUGGAUCCGCGCCGCAUUAGCUAGUUGGUAAGGUAACGGCUUACCAAGGCAACGAUGCGUAGCCGACCUGAGAGGAUGAUCGGCCACACUGGAACUGAGACACGGUCCAGACUCCUACGGGAGGCAGCAGUAGGGAAUCUUCCGCAAUGGGCGAAAGCCUGACGGAGCAACGCCGCGUGAGUGCUGAAGGUCUUCGGAUCGUAAAACUCUGUUAUUAGGGAAGAACAAAUGUGUAAGUACCUAUGCACGUCUUGACGGUACCUAAUCAGAAAGCCACGGCUAACUACGUG